AUAUCGCAUAAAAAAUGGUAAUAAUAAAAUUUGAUAUAUAACUUACUCAUGGAAAUUACGAAGAAAAUAUGACUUUGACGUAAUAUGUAUUUUGGAGGUAGUCCUCGUAUUGAUCGCAAUGCUGCUUCACAUUUGACAUCAGUGAGGGGAAUUCACCCUUCACUUUUGCCAACCCAAGUGCCAUAUACAAAGUCGACGAGGGUGAUGUGCGUUAUAUAAUGAGAAAGUAAUAUCCCACACUGUUUAUAAACAUACACAUUCUCUACCCCUUCUACAUAAUAUCCUUAAUCGUAAAAAUGCAUCGGUAUUUCGUAAAAUAUUACAAAAUGUAAGAAUUCUGUUAUUCUACAGAAUUCUAUUUAUAUACUGCACAUUAUGUUAUUUGUUGCGAACAUCUUUUAAUUUUCAUUAAAUUAACCGUAUCGAUGUUUUUCACCGUUGUUGAAUAUAAACUGAAACUAUGUCUGCGAAAAACCUUUGCAGUAUUUUCUAAAGGUUGUGACGACCUCAUAAUUUCUCUUCGCCAUUUUUUCCACGGUGCAAGGAGAUCUAAGAUUUUGUCAGCUCUUUAUUAUAUUCGAGCCUUACUUCUCACGCUGCACGCUCGAGUACUUACGAAAAGGAAAUUCUUCGAGAGCGGCACACGCAAGGCGUGAGAAGUUCUUUUUUUUUACGUCAUACCGAGUUUCCACUGCAUAAAAAAUAAGGUGAACGGGUGUCGGUGUGAAACGUGUCUCCGCAAAAUUGCACGAAAAAUUUCCACGAGAAGAAUUUAAAAAUUAACGUCUUAAGUAACGUACUCCCUGAAAAAUCUUCGAUAGUACCUGAAUAAUUUCUCUGAUAUGAGUAAAUAUGUUCGGACAGGAAGAGGAGAAUAUUUUCGUGACAAUACAAAUAUUUAAGUUUACUAGACAAUUUUACAAUCUUAAGUAAAUUUCUCAAGCGUUUACGAUAUGUUUAUAAAUUGCUAAAAAGCUUAAAAAUUGUUAUGAUUGAACAUUUUUUAGAAUUCUUUUUAAAAUUUGAUUUUAUGAUGUUAUUCUACGUUACUACGAAAGUGUAAAAUUUUGUAAUGAAGUAAGUUUUUAAAAACUUCAAGUGCUUAAUUUAACACCUUAGUCGCUUUCAAAAGAAGCAACCUUUAAAUAAAGCCUUUGAAAACAGGAUGAAUGAAAGGAAAUGCAAAGGAAAAGUGGCUGCUAGUAGGUGUGAAACAAGAUGAGAGAAGACUGUUUACACGAGACGAGAAAAAAGACUCCAGCUGCGAUAACGUUGCAAAGAGGGCGCAACAUACCACGCCGUUUCUACAAAUAUUCUUCCAGAAUAUACGACUUCGCAGCACAACUAUUAUCGCAAUUAGCACGAAUCACUCUCUUCGUUCAUUACCAGAAACCAUUCGAUAGGAUCGAAAUCGUAAUCGAAAUACAAGAUUUCAGAGAAUACCGCAGCCGUCUCGAUGCCAUUCGUUCCGGAAGAUACAGCUGAGAGAAAGUAAUAAGAGACCUCGAUGCAAAAGAAAUGUCGGAGUAGACUGCGCAGUAUUCGCGCGAGAAACGCCAGAGAGAAGAAAAAUUCGUAUUGUAAUAAAAUGACAACGAGGACGUCGUACGCGACGCCUUCUUGACGAAGAAUUUUCUCAUCUAUAUCUUGUUAAUUUGCAGCAUGUAACGACACUUGUAUCCGUCGCUUCUUCGUGUCACGCCCACGGAAAUUUCCAUCUUCACCAAUGAUACGUGUACAUUUUAAUUAUCACAACGGUUCGCCCGAGACGAAAGCUACGUAAACUCGUUUCAUGGAAUUUUACACAAUUUUAUUCGGUAAAAGCAAUUUCGUUCGCUUCGCGUCAUUUUAGAAUUGAGCUGGAUUAAACAGAUACUGAUAAAAUACUAGAUUUAAAGAGGAACGAUUAAAGAGACGAAUAACAGAUGUACUCUAAAUAUGUAUGUAUAAUCCAAUGUACGUGUUAUGUAAA